rnacentral:rRNA from 1 species
GACGAACGCUGGCGGCGCGCUUAACACAUGCAAGUCGAGCGAGAACCCAGGCUUCGGUCUGGGGGAAAGCGGCGAACGGGUGAGUAUCACGUGGGUAAUCUGCCCUCGACAUCGGGAUAGCCCGGGGAAACCCGGAUUAAUACCGAAUGGCCCAUCUGCUCUUCGGAGCAGCUGGAAAAGGUAGCUUCGGCCUCCGGUCGAGGAGGAGCCCGCGGCGGAUUAGCUUGUUGGUGAGGUAACGGCUCACCAAGGCUCCGAUCCGUAGCUGGUCUGAGAGGAGGAUCAGCCACGAGGGGACUGAGACACGGCCCAGACUGCUACGGGAGGCAGCAGUGGGGAAUCGUGCGCAAUGGGCGAAAGCCUGACGCAGCGACGCCGCGGGAGGGAAGAAGGCCGUCGGGUUGUAAACCUCUUUCAGGAGGGACGAAGCCACUCGGGUUAAUAGCCCAGAGGGUGACGGUACCUCCAGAAGAAGCCCCGGCUAACUACGUGCCAGCCGCCGCAGUAAUAC